GACGAACGCUGGCGGCGUGCUUAACACAUGCAAGUCGAACGGAGCGUCUUUGAAGGAGACUUUCGGUCAAUGGAUGAGAUUGCUUAGUGGCGGACGGGUGAGUAACGCGUGAGGAAUCUGCCUCGGAGUGGGGAAUAACAGUUGGAAACAGCUGCUGAUACCGCAUAAUGCAACGGAAUCGCAUGACUCUGUUAGCCAAAAGAUUUAUCGGCUCUGAGAUGGCCUCGCGUCUGAUUAGCUAGUUGGCGGGGUAACGGCCCACCAAGGCGACGAUCAGUAGCCGGACUGAGAGGUUGGCCGGCCACAUUGGGACUGGAGACACGGCCCAG
rnacentral:rRNA from 1 species